rnacentral:rRNA from 1 species
AUUGAACGCUGGCGGCAGGCCUAACACGUGCAAGUCGAGCGGAUGAAGGGAGCUUGCUCCUGGAUUCAGCGGCGGACGGGUGAGUAAUGCCUAGGAAUCUGCCUGGUAGUGGGGGAUAACGUCCGGAAACGGGCGCUAAUACCGCAUACGUCCUGAGGGAGAAAGUGGGGGAUCUUCGGACCUCACGCUAUCAGAUGAGCCUAGGUCGGAUUAGCUAGUUGGUGGGGUAAAGGCCUACCAAGGCGACGAUCCGUAACUGGUCUGAGAGGAUGAUCAGUCACACUGGAACUGAGACACGGUCCAGACUCCUACGGGAGGCAGCAGUGGGGAAUAUUGGACAAUGGGCGAAAGCCUGAUCCAGCCAUGCCGCGUGUGUGAAGAAGGUCUUCGGAUUGUAAAGCACUUUAAGUUGGGAGGAAGGGCGGUAAGUUAAUACCUUGCUGUUUUGACGUUACCAACAGAAUAAGCACCGGCUAACUUCGUG